rnacentral:rRNA from 1 species
GAGGUCCCGAGCGUUGUUCGGAUUCACUGGGCGUAAAGGGUGCGUAGGUGGUGGGCUAAGUCGGAUGUGAAAUCUCGGAGCUUAACUCCGAAACUGCAUUGGAAACUGUCCUGCUAGAGGGUUGGAGGGGGGACUGGAAUACUUGGUGUAGCAGUGAAAUGCGUAGAUAUCAAGUGGAACACCGGUGGCGAAGGCGAGUCCCUGGACAACACCUGACACUGAGGCACGAAAGCUAGGGGAGCAAACAGG